rnacentral:rRNA from 1 species
AGAGUUUGAUUCUGGCUCAGGAUGAACGCUAGCGACAGGCUUAACACAUGCAAGUCGAGGGGCAGCACGGGAGUAGCAAUACUUGGUGGCGACCGGCGCACGGGUGAGUAACGCGUGUGCAACCUACCUAUCAGAGGGGAAUAACCCGGCGAAAGUCGGACUAAUACCGCAUAAAACAGGGGCACCGCAUGGUGAUAUUUGUUAAAGAAAUUCGCUGAUAGAUGGGCAUGCGUUCCAUUAGGUAGUUGGUGAGGUAACGGCUCACCAAGCCGACGAUGGAUAGGGGAACUGAGAGGUUGGUCCCCCACACUUUUGGUACUGAGACACGGACCAGACUCCUACGGGAGGCAGCAGUGAGGAAUAUUGGUCAAUGGGCGGGAGCCUGAACCAGCCAAGUCGCGUGAAGGAAGAAGGAUCUAUGGUUCGUAAACUUCUUUUGCAGGGGAAUAAAGUGCAGGACGUGUCCUGUUUUGUAUGUACCCUGAGAAUAAGGAUCGGCUAACUCCGUGCCAGCAGCCGC